rnacentral:rRNA from 1 species
AUUGAACGCUGGCGGCAUGCCUUACACAUGCAAGUCGAACGGCAGCACGGGGCAACCUGGUGGCGAGUGGCGAACGGGUGAGUAAUGCAUCGGAACGUGCCAUUGAGUGGGGAUAACGUAGCGAAAGUUGCGCUAAUACCGCAUAUUCUGUGAGCAGGAAAGCAGGGGACGCAAGGCCUUGCGCUCUUUGAGCGGCCGAUGUCAGAUUAGCUAGUUGGUGAGGUAACGGCUUACCAAGGCGACGAUCUGUAGCGGGCUGAGAGGAUGAUCCGCCACACUGGAACUGAGACACGGUCCAGAC